GACGAACCGUACGAACGUUAUUCGGAAUCACUGGGCUUAAAGGGUGCGUAGGCGGUGCGGUAAGUUGGGUGUGAAAUCCCUCGGCUCAACCGAGGAAUUGCGCCCAAAACUACCGUGCUAGAGGGAGACAGAGGUGAGUGGAACUUAGGGUGGAGCGGUGAAAUGCGUUGAUAUCCUAAGGAACACCAGUGGCGAAAGCGACUCACUGGGUCUCUUCUGACGCUGAGGCACGAAAGCUAGGGGAGCAAACGGG
rnacentral:rRNA from 1 species